GACGAACGCUGGCGGCGUGCCUAAUACAUGCAAGUCGAACGCAGUGGGGACGGGUGAGUAACACGUGGGUAACCUACCAUCAGAGGGGAUAACACUUGGAAACAGGUGCUAAACCGAUACUGAUGGAUGGACCCGCGGUGCAUUAGCUAGUUGGUGAGGUAACGGCGCACCAAGGCCACGAUGCAUAGCAGACCUGAGAGGGUGGUCGGCCACACUGGGACUGCGACAGGGUCCAGAGUCCUACGGGAGGCAGCAGUAGGGAAUCUUCGGCAAGUGACGAAAGUCUGAGCGAGCAACGCCGCGUGAGUGAAGAAGGUCUUCGGGUCGGAAAACUCUGUUUUUAGAGUAGCGGUAUCUAACCAGAAAGCCACGGCUAACUACGUGCCAGCAGCCGCGGUAAUUC
rnacentral:rRNA from 1 species